GCCAGUGUGGCAUAGUGGUUUGAGAAUUGGACUGCAACUCUUAAGAUCAGGGUUCAGUUCCCAGCUUGGUCA